rnacentral:rRNA from 1 species
UACGUAGGGUGCGAGCGUUAAUCGGAAUUACUGGGCGUAAAGCGUGCGCAGGCGGUUUUGUAAGACAGGCGUGAAAGCCCCGGGCUCAACCUGGGAAUUGCAUUCGAGACUGCAUUGCUGGAGUACGGAAGAGGAAGGCGGAAUUCCCGGUGUAGCGGUGAAAUGCGUAGAUAUCGGGAGGAACAUCAGUGGCGAAGGCGGCCUUCUGGUCCAGUACUGACACUCAAGUGCGAAAGCGUGGGGAGCAAACAGG